CCUACGGGUGGCAGCAGUAGGGAAUAUUGGACAAUGAGGGGAACCCUGAUCGAGCGACACCGCGUGAGUGAAGAAGUAUUUCGGUAUGUAAAGCGCUGUCAGCAGGGAAGAAAGAUAUGACGGUACAUGACUAAGAAACCCCGGCUAACUACGUGCCAGUAGGCGCGGUAAUACGUAGGGGGCAAGCGUUAUCCGGAUUUGCUGGGUGUAAAGGGAGCGUAGACGGGGAUGCAAGUCUGAAGUGAAAGGCGGGGGCCCAAACCCCGGACUGCUUUGGAAACUGUCUGGCUGGAGUGCAGGAGAGGUAAGUGGAAUUCCUAGUGUAGCGGUGAAAUGCGUAGAUAUUAGGAGGAACACCAGUGGCGAAGGCGGCUUACUGGA
rnacentral:rRNA from 1 species